UGUAAAGUUCAAGCUCCGAUUAUGAGGGCGAAACCGCGAAUGGCUCAUUAAAUCAGUCAUAAUCUACUUGAUUGUUUAAAGUUUAUAUGGAUAACUGUGGUAAUUCUAGAGCUAAUACAUGCACAAAUGGGGCGACUCUUGCAAGAGAGAAGCUCUGCGUUUAUUAGACUAAGACCAAUGAUCCAGCAAUGGAUCCAUUAUUAAGGUGACUCUGAGUAAAUAAUGGGUGAAAGCCCAUGUUGCUGACCUGACAUACCAAAAAGCUCGCAAGGGCUUGUCAGGCAAAUCAAUCGUGUGUCUGCUCUAUCAACUGUGGAUGGUAGGAUAAUUGCCUACCAUGGUGAUGACGGGUAACGGGGAGUUAGGGCUCGACUCCGGAGAACAAGCCUGAGAAACGGCUAGUAGGACUAAGGUCUGCAGCAGGCGCGAAACUUACACAAUGCUAGAUUACAAUUAGCGAUGUAGUGAAGAAAAAUAACGAUGUACUUCCUUCUAAACAAGGUAGUACAAUUGGAAUGAGACGACUAUAAACCAGUUAGUCGAGUAACAAAUGGAGGGCAAGUCUGGUGCCAGCAGCCGCGGUAAUUCCAGCUCCAUUAGCAUACAUUAAAGUUGUUGCGGUUAAAAAGCUCGUAGUUGAAUUUUAGGCGGGCUCUAUUGGGAUGCAAUCGUUAAGACCUACUUGGUUUCGAUCAAGUUAGGUUGGUUGUCAUCGCCCUAUAGGAACCCGCUGUUUCGUCACUUAAUCGAGUGCGAAGCGGGCUGGUACAAGGAUUCAAUAUUCGCUAUUGUCCUGUUUCAGCAUGUUUACCUUGAGAAAAUUAGAGUGCUCACAGCAGGCAGUUGGGGUGUAAAAGCUCCUUUAUGCUUGAAUAAUGUUGCAUGGAAUAAUAGAAUACGGCCUCGGUUCUAUUCUGUUGGUCUUAUAGAACAACAAACAAGUUGGUUAAAGCGAUCAAAAGUCCAUCUGCGGAUGUGGUUCAUUGGUAGCUUUUUAGUUGCUGAUCUUAACUUUAGUCUAGUUGUGUUACCUAGGGCCUUAAAAUCUUAGAGUCGCGCUAGCUAUUAGUUGGUCUUCUUAACUAUCUAGUUUUGCCUUUGUUCCAUUUAAAGCAUCCCUUAUUGGGCUAGCUUUCUAAUCAACUGAGGCAAUGGUUAAAAGAAAUAGUCGCGGCGGCAUCAGUACUGCAUCGUGAGAGGUGAAAUUCUUAGACCGAUGC
rnacentral:rRNA from 1 species